GCGCGCGGCUCUGGGAAUGCUGGGCUGGAGCUGGUUGUCUUGUCCGGGCGUUCCUGCUCGCGGGGU
rnacentral:miRNA from 1 species